GAUGUGGUAGCCAAACGGUAAGGCAUACUCCCGCAAGGGGUAAUCGUAGGUUCAACUCCUACCCACAUCU
rfam:Parcubacteria (Nomurabacteria) bacterium GW2011_GWF2_40_12 TT78_C0001, whole genome shotgun sequence.